rnacentral:rRNA from 1 species
AUUGAACGCUGGCGGCAGGCUUAACACAUGCAAGUCGAGCGGAGCGAGGGUGCUUGCACCUUAGCUUAGCGGCGGACGGGUGAGUAAUGCUUAGGAAUCUGCCUAUUAGUGGGGGACAACAUUCCGAAAGGGAUGCUAAUACCGCAUACGCCCUACGGGGGAAAGCAGGGGAUCUUCGGACCUUGCGCUAAUAGAUGAGCCUAAGUCGGAUUAGCUAGUUGGUGGGGUAAAGGCCUACCAAGGCGACGAUCUGUAGCGGGUCUGAGAGGAUGAUCCGACACACUGGGACUGAGACACGGCCCAGACUCCUACGGGAGGCAGCAGUGGGGAAUAUUGGACAAUGGGGGGAACCCUGAUCCAGCCAUGCCGCGUGUGUGAAGAAGGCCUUUUGGUUGUAAAGCGCUUUAAGCGAGGAGGAGGCUUACCUGGUUAAUACCUGGGAUAAGUGGACGUUACUCGCAGAAUAAGCACCGGCUAACUCUGUGCCAGCCGCCGCAGUAAGAC